AGCUCCAAUAGCGUAUAUUAAAGUUGUUGCAGUUAAAAAGCUCGUAGUUGGAUUUCGGAGUGGGCCAGUUGGUCCGCCGCAAGGUGUGUUACUGACUGGUUUGCUCUUCUUCGCAAAGACUGCGUGUGCUCUUCAGUGAGUGUGCGUAGGAUUUACGACGUUUACUUUGAAAAAAUUAGAGUGUUCAAAGCAGGCUAUUGCUUGAAUACAUGAGCAUGGAAUAAUGGAAUAGUACUUUGGCCCCCUUUCGUUGGUUCCUAGGGCCGGAGUAAUGAUUAAGAGGGACAAUUGGGGGCAUCCGUAUUUCGUUGUCAGAGGUGAGAAUCUUGGAUUUACGAAAGACGAACAACUGCGAAAGCACUUGCCAAGAGUGUUUUCA
rnacentral:rRNA from 1 species